UACGUAGGGGGCAAGCGUUGUCCGGAAUUAUUGGGCGUAAAGAGCGUGUAGGCGGCCAGAUAAGUCCGCUGUGAAAUCUCGAGGCUCAACUUCGAGCUGUCGGUGGAAACUAUCUGGCUAGAGUCCGGAAGAGGAGAAUGGAAUUCCUGGUGUAGCGGUGAAAUGCGCAGAUAUCAGGAAGAACACCCGUGGCGAAGGCGGUUCUCUGGGACGGUACUGACGCUGAGACGCGAAAGCUAGGGGAGCAAACGGG
rnacentral:rRNA from 1 species